rnacentral:rRNA from 1 species
UGGGGAAUAUUGGACAAUGGGGGCAACCCUGAUCCAGCCAUGCCGCGUGCGUGAAGAAGGCCUUAGGGUUGUAAAGCGCUUUUGCUAGGGAUGAUAAUGACCGUACCUAGAGAAUAAGCCCCGGCUAACUCCGUGCCAGCAGCCGCGGUAAGACGGAGGGGGCUAGCGUUGUUCGGAUUUACUGGGCGUAAAGGGCGCGUAGGCGGCCAUGUGUGUCAGAGGUGAAAUCCCAAGGCUUAACCUUGGAAUUGCUUUUGAAACUGCAUGGCUUGAGUGAUAGAGAGGCAAGUGGAAUUCCGAGUGUAGCAGUGAAAUGCGUAGAUAUUCGGAGGAACAUCGGUGGCGAAGGCGACUUGCUGGCUAUCAACUGACGCUGAGGCGCGAAAGCGUGGGGAGCAAA